ACGUAGGAUGCUAGCGUUGUCCGGAUUUACUGGGCGUAAAGCGCGCGCAGGCGGCACUGUAAGUAAGGUGUGAAAUAUCCCUGCUCAACGGGGAGGGUGCACUUUAGACUGCAGAGCUAGAGGACGGUAGAGGGGGGUGGAAUUGCUGGUGUAGCGGUGAAAUGCGUAGAGAUCAGCAGGAACACCCGUGGCGAAGGCGGCCCCCUGGGCCGAACCUGACGCUGAGGCGCGAAGGCUAGGGGAGCGAACGGGA
rnacentral:rRNA from 1 species